rnacentral:rRNA from 1 species
AGCCCAGAGCCUGAAUCAGUGUGUGUGUUAGUGGAAGCGUCUGGAAAGGCGCGCGAUACAGGGUGACAGCCCCGUACACAAAAAUGCACAUGCUGUGAGCUCGAUGAGUAGGGCGGGACACGUGGUAUCCUGUCUGAAUAUGGGGGGACCAUCCUCCAAGGCUAAAUACUCCUGACUGACCGAUAGUGAACCAGUACCGUGAGGGAAAGGCGAAAAGAACCCCGGCGAGGGGAGUGAAAAAGAACCUGAAACCGUGUACGUACAAGCAGUGGGAGCACAGAGCAAUCUGUGUGACUGCGUACCUUUUGUAUAAUGGGUCAGCGACUUAUAUUCUGUAGCAAGGUUAACCGAAUAGGGGAGCCGAAGGGAAACCGAGUCUUAACUGGGCGUUAAGUUGCAGGGUAUAGACCCGAAACCCGGUGAUCUAGCCAUGGGCAGGUUGAAGGUUGGGUAACACUAACUGGAGGACCGAACCGACUAAUGUUGAAAAAUUAGCGGAUGACUUGUGGCUGGGGGUGAAAGGCCAAUCAAACCGGGAGAUAGCUGGUUCUCCCCGAAAGCUAUUUAGGUAGCGCCUCGUGAAUUCAUCUCCGGGGGUAGAGCACUGUUUCGGCAAGGGGGUCAUCCCGACUUACCAACCCGAUGCAAACUGCGAAUACCGGAGAAUGUUAUCACGGGAGACACACGGCGGGUGCUAACGUCCGUCGUGAAGAGGGAAACAACCCAGACCGCCAGCUAAGGUCCCAAAGUCAUGGUUAAGUGGGAAACGAUGUGGGAAGGCCCAGACAGCCAGGAUGUUGGCUUAGAAGCAGCCAUCAUUUAAAGAAAGCGUAAUAGCUCACUGGUCGAGUCGGCCUGCGCGGAAGAUGUAACGGGGCUAAACCAUGCACCGAAGCUGCGGCAGCGACACUGUGUGUUGUUGGGUAGGGGAGCGUUCUGUAAGCCUGUGAAGGUGUGCUGUGAGGCAUGCUGGAGGUAUCAGAAGUGCGAAUGCUGACAUAAGUAACGAUAAAGCGGGUGAAAAGCCCGCUCGCCGGAAGACCAAGGGUUCCUGUCCAACGUUAAUCGGGGCAGGGUGAGUCGACCCCUAAGGCGAGGCCGAAAGGCGUAGUCGAUGGGAAACAGGUUAAUAUUCCUGUACUUGGUGUUACUGCGAAGGGGGGACGGAGAAGGCUAUGUUGGCCGGGCGACGGUUGUCCCGGUUUAAGCGUGUAGGCUGGUUUUCCAGGCAAAUCCGGAAAAUCAAGGCUGAGGCGUGAUGACGAGGCACUACGGUGCUGAAGCAACAAAUGCCCUGCUUCCAGGAAAAGCCUCUAAGCAUCAGGUAACAUCAAAUCGUACCCCAAACCGACACAGGUGGUCAGGUAGAGAAUACCAAGGCGCUUGAGAGAACUCGGGUGAAGGAACUAGGCAAAAUGGUGCCGUAACUUCGGGAGAAGGCACGCUGAUAUGUAGGUGAAGUCCCUCGCGGAUGGAGCUGAAAUCAGUCGAAGAUACCAGCUGGCUGCAACUGUUUAUUAAAAACACAGCACUGUGCAAACACGAAAGUGGACGUAUACGGUGUGACGCCUGCCCGGUGCCGGAAGGUUAAUUGAUGGGGUCAGCGCAAGCGAAGCUCUUGAUCGAAGCCCCGGUAAACGGCGGCCGUAACUAUAACGGUCCUAAGGUAGCGAAAUUCCUUGUCGGGUAAGUUCCGACCUGCACGAAUGGCGUAAUGAUGGCCAGGCUGUCUCCACCCGAGACUCAGUGAAAUUGAACUCGCUGUGAAGAUGCAGUGUACCCGCGGCAAGACGGAAAGACCCCGUGAACCUUUACUAUAGCUUGACACUGAACAUUGAGCCUUGAUGUGUAGGAUAGGUGGGAGGCUUUGAAGUGUGGACGCCAGUCUGCAUGGAGCCGACCUUGAAAUACCACCCUUUAAU